GUGAAACGCCAUGGCUUCCAAUACGAGGGGAACAGAGUAACCCCGAGGUUCGAAGUAAAACUCAACGCUACUGUUUGGCCACUGAGAAAAGAGGGGAAACUAGCGAAUAUCUGUAAAUGGAGGAGACGCUCAAGUGUUUGGCAUUGUUAGUAGCUGGAGCUCUUCUCGACGCCGUUUCAACAGUCGCUCUUCUAAAGCUUCUUCCAGGAAGGGUCCUGAGGCCACAUGAUAGACAUUCCGUAGAAUUGAACGAUCUCUCGAACAGCGCAAUCUGCCCAAGCCUGCAGGCGACAAGUGCCACAGAUUCGAUGGACUACAGCACUUUAUAGUGCCUUCGUGAAUGCCAUUAACGCUCUUGGUGGCCCUGAAAGUGUGAUCCUCCUUUCUCCAUAUCAUUUCAUUUUUCUUCCAUGAAGGUUUAUAGGCUUUAUAUAUGCUUCGUCUAUAUCUCACUUGUACAAAACUGAUCCGCAGGGCGAUCCAGAAGAUGUUCUUGAGCUGAUGAAUGUUGAGGACUUGACCCUUGCUCAUGUUAAAAGCCACUUGCAGUUUAUCAACAAUAUUGGAGGACCCUCAAUGAAAAUCUCUUAUUCGGCUGAAAAAAUAACAUCUCAUCACUUGAAAAUGUAAGUAAAUUUCUAUAUAUUUUGAUAUGUAGAAGAGUUUUUCCAUCAGAUAGAAGAUGCUUAAUGGCUGAGAGGGAAUGCAUAAUCAUGUCAAAUGUGCAUCAUAUCAGUCCCAACAGUUCUAAUAACCCGGCAGAAAAUUAUAUCUGCCAAAAGGAAUAUAUUACCGUAGAGGUAACAAAUGUCAAUGCAGAGAAGACAAAUGUAUCAUUUUUCAAAAUUUUCAAGGCAACUUUGGAGCAACUCUUUGCUAUUGCCAACUUCGUGUUGGAGCUUCUGGCAGCUGUUUUUGAUCAACUUUUGUCUUCUGAUAAGCUGCAGUGUGCACUAAUUAGUAUGUCGAUAUCUUUUGUGGGGCCAUGUUCAUCUGCAUCGUUGAGUUCGUUUACGAAGGUAGACGCCAAAAAGUAACAUGGAGAUGGAGAGGCAGGAGAUCUUCAUUUUGCUAUCCAUCUGCAAGUCAAAUGCUAUUUGGUACUUUCACAGAUAUCACUGGAUUAAUCUGUGCUGGAUUUCAGUUCAUCUUUGCAGCGAUCAAUUAUGGGUUUUUAGGCCGCCAUGUUAAUAAUCCUAUAUAAGAUAUCUGUAUGGCUUAUUAUGUUCUGAAUUUUUCAAGGAUCCUGAAAAGAAGAACCUUUCGUAGAAGGGAGUUUAGGUUCGAGGCAAUAUAGAUACUGGUAUAUAUAAACAGAAUAUGAAGUGCAAUAACAUUAAUUUUCUUUUUAUGUGAAAUUAAUUUCUAAUUCUACUUGGAAUGAAAUUUGAUGGAAUUUGAAUUA